GGGUCCUCUCUUCCCCACAGACAUGAACGAACCAGCUCUAUGACCACAUCUCCCAUAACCAGCCCCGGCCUGCAAAGGCAGCCACCACAGAGCUUCUUAGUGAUGUAUCAGCGCAUUCCUGAUGGACGGUGUGUUACUUGGUGUUCCAUUCUCCCAGUGAAACAUAAUUCUCUGUCAAUGGAAGCAUUUGAGAAAAAAACACCUUUCAAAGUGAAACUGUAUUAUGUUACUGGAACAUUUGUUAAAAAUCUAUUAACCUCUAAGAAGCCAAGAACAGAAAUUCAGCAAUAAAAGGUAAACUGAUGGACUGUGGAGCUGCAAGGGGAAACCACCUGGUAGUGAUCAAAGAAGAUAGGUUGAAAUUCUCCUGGAAAGAUGUACAUGUAAGACAACAAUGCAUGACACCCUCUGGUGGACUCUUCUCCUCCCUCUAAAAAACUCGCUGAUACUGAUUCAUCACUGCGAGGUAACAAGUAGUACACAGAUCUAUCUUCUCACAAAGGAUUUGUUAUAAUAUGGAAGCAGAACAAUUUGACAUCAUUAUCCGAAAAUCCACUGUGGAAGAUGAAUUCAUGUGUCAAAACUGCUAAAAUGGAUAAUGGGCAUAAUUGUUAAUAUACUAACUGUUGUGAUUUUUUAGUGAGUAAAUAUGUAACCAUUCACACAUCUUUCUGUAAUUUAUAAGUAAAAAUCUCUCCCUUUGUGACUCAGUAUUGUGAUCUUCCAUGCUCACUAUGAAAAACAUAAUAGAAAUAUGAUAUGAUAAAAUCAGAGUGCUAUACUAUAGUGACAAGAAAACAGGAGGUAUGGAUUUUAAUGUGAGUUCAACCCCUAGCUAGCUCUUUUACUUUGGGCAUUCCCUUAGUCUUGGUCUCAAUGCCCUCUUCUGUAAAGUUGUGAGGUUUGAGUUAUUCUCUGAGAUACAUUCUGCUGUUAAAAUUCUAUUAUUGAAUUUGAAAACCACUAAACCUUUCAGUGAGGGAAAUUUGGAAAAAGAAUGGUAUAUUUUUUUUAGCUGAUAAAGUUUUUAAGUGAAAAAAGUGUUUAAACUUCUUUGUAUUUGUUAAUUGAGCUAUUUUUUUAUUUAGACAUAUGAGUUCAAAAUUUAUAGCUGUUUUUGACACUAUAGUCAGUAGGUAAAAAGCAGUUUCUGGAGGCUGCCUAUGCUUGAAUCUAGUUUCAUCAUUUACUAGUUGUAAAACAUGGGAAAGUUUUUAAAAUGUCUUUGUGCUCAGUUUACUCCUCUGUCAAUGGGGUAUAAUUACAGCACCCUUCUUGAAGAGAUAUUAUGAGGAGUAAGCAAGAUGAUUUGCAUAACUCCUUAGCAAAUGAUUAAAGCAUUAACAUAUUCUUGACACACAUGAGCUUUUACAAUUACUCUGGUGUCACCAGCUAUCCCAGGCUAUUAUCAUUCCAUACUUUAUUACUGUAAUUAUAGCCACCUAGUUUAAAAGUCUCUUCCUUUCAAAUCUAUCCUAUACAUUUCUUCCAGCAAAGACUGCCCCAAACACAAUUGUCUUCAUUGCCUUCUGAUAAAAACUGUUAACAACAGACUUCAGUUAUUUCCAUACCCAGGAGAACUGAGUAUAUAUUGUCCUGGCAUUUAAGACUCUCAUUAAUAUUGGUUCAAUUUGUCUUUCCAGCUUCAUUCCAUUACCUCCUCUUAUAUACACGCUCUAGCUGAAUGGAACUAUCCAAGUAUCACUGAGAACUCGCACUCUGCUUUUCUGUGUUAAGCUCUUAAGGGAAGAGACAGUGAUAAGUCUUUAUACCCCAGUAUAAAGUCCAGGACCUGGCACACAGUAAGCAUUCAAUAUUUUUGAAGUGAACAGUCUUUGCUUGCACUGUUUUCCUCUCAGAAGUCCUCUCUUCUUAUCUUUACCUACAUAACACCUAUCCUUCAAGGUCCCAGCUAAAUAUCAUGAAUUACCACCAUUCAUAGGCUACCUACUUCCUUCAUAGUAUUGUCAUGUAUUUACCUUCUAGAAUUUACAUUCCACUGUGAUUAUAAUUAUUUUUGUUAUCUUAUGCCCUCAUUUUUGACUGGUGUUGAGAGCAGUGUACUAUGUCUUAAUCAAUUUUAUUUCCUACAAUGCCUAGCAUUUUUCUUUGACUAUGUUAAUUGCCAGUGACUAGUUAUUGAAUGAAUCAAUAUGAUUAAUAGGAUCCUAUUUGUUAACCAUUGUUUCUUGGCCAUUAAAAAAACUUCAAUAGAACAAAAUCCUACUUCAAUAGAACAAAAUCUUCACCCCUUGCCAGGCUCCUUAGUCUCUCCAAGGUCCAGCCACAUCCUCUCUGCCUAACAUGACUUUGGGUAGCUACUGAAGCCCUACUAGCUUUUCAUUAUUCCAUGGACAUGCCAUAUACAUUCUUAACCAUGUUCCUUUGCUGAUGUUUCCUUUGCUUGAGGGCAAUACUGUCUUUGUUUCAGCUAUCCAAGCCUGACUUAAGGUCUCAUUCCAUACUUUAUUACUGUAAUAAUAGCCAACUAGUUUUAAAGUCUCUUCCUUUCAAAUCUAACCUAUACACUUCUUCCAGUGAAGACUGCCCCAAACACAAUUGUCUUCAUUUUCUUCUCCCAAAUUCAUCAUGGAGCACUCCUCUAGACUUCCACAGUGCUUUUUCUCUUUCAUCAUAGGAAAGACAAAUUUAGGUUCUUAGUUUAGUACUUAAUCAUACAAUUUAAUCAUACACACACCCUAGAACAAUGAAACAAUAAAAGUAGGAGAUAAUUUAAAAGGGCUUUACUACAGAAAUUCUAAUAAUGAAAUUUGAAAGGGGCUAGUUCCAUAUUAACCCACUCUGUAAUUCCUUUCCUCCUCCUCCCUGGGUUACCUCUUAUAUUAGCUGUGCAGACACCAUUCUUGACAACCUGUUUCUAAGAUAUUUAAGGAACUUUGCAUUCAUCUGAACCUCUUCUAGCUAAUAAUACAAUC
ensembl:lncRNA UFL1-AS1 UFL1 antisense RNA 1